GGGGAAUAUUGGACAAUGGGCGCAAGCCUGAUCCAGCCAUGCCGCGUGAGUGAUGAAGGCCCUAGGGUUGUAAAGCUCUUUCGGCGGGGAAGAUAAUGACGGUACCCGCAGAAGAAGCCCCGGCAAACUUCGUGCCAGCAGCCGCGGUAAUACGAAGGGGGCUAGCGUUGCUCGGAAUUACUGGGCGUAAAGCGCACGUAGGCGGAUUCUUAAGUCAGGGGUGAAAUCCCGGAGCUCAACUCCGGAACUGCCUUUGAUACUGAGAAUCUCGAGUCCGGGAGAGGUGAGUGGAACUCCGAGUGUAGAGGUGAAAUUCGUAGAUAUUCGGAAGAACACCAGUGGCGAAGGCGGCUCACUGGCCCGGUACUGACGCUGAGGUGCGAAAGCGUGGGGAGCAAAC
rnacentral:rRNA from 1 species